UCUGAGGGCUUCGCUGCUGCCGAGCUGACGGGCUCGGCGCCGUGUCAGCGGGAAGGAGCUGCACCCCGCCCCCAACCUGCAGGCCUCGGCCCCUCGGUUCCAGGCCCUCAGUGGAGGGGCCUGUGGCUUUUCCAGAAGGGGGUCCUCGGGCCUUCCUGCCGGGGACCCUGCAGCUUUUUGGUUGGGGAACUCCAGGAAUGGGGUCUCGGGCCCCAUGGCCGUGGGCUCCAGUACCCUCACAGAAGCCCAGGGAGCUGAGAGAGAAAAGCAGGGCCGGAGGGCAGUUAAAGGGCUGAAAACAUUCCACUCAGGACCGUUGACAUAGGGCACAAGAGACCUCAGUGUGGGACCCAGCGGGCUCAGCCCCAAAUACCGUGUGGACUGAAAAAACAAUGCACGACCUAAAAGUUGAGCGUUAUGUUUUAUUCGGUGGACAAAACUGAGGACUUAAGCCCGGACACAGCAUCUCAGAUAACUCAGGGACUGUUCUGAAGAGCCUCCUGACUGCAGGUACCCAGGUAGACAACACUUGGACCAAAAGGACCUCCUGGGUAUCACAGCCUUGGAACGGGGAGAGGACGGAAAGCCAGCAUGCGGCUUUGAUAAACGUUUGCCCAAUUGGAUCGCAUUCAAGUUGUCUGACAGGUGUCCUAAUAAGAAGGGGAGAUGAGGACACAGACACACACGGAGGGACGACCACGUGAGGACACGGGAGAAGACGGCCAUCUGCAAGCCAAGGAGAGAGGCCUUAGGAGGAAUCACCCUGCCUACACCUGGAUCUUCAGCCUCCAGAGCUGAGAGGAAAUAAAUGUCUGCUGUUUA